UGAGCAAUUGCCAACUGACAGAAAAGGUGG
rnacentral:piRNA from 1 species